rnacentral:misc_RNA from 1 species
AGAAGUAGACAGCUGGUGAUUCUCAUUGACACAGAGACUACUAAUAGCUUCUUGGAUAGGAAAGUUGCUGAGGAAUUGAAGCUGCCAAUGGUGAAUAUACUAGCUGCCCAUUUUUCUGUUGCUGAUGGGAGGAAAAUUACUUGUGAACACAAAUGUCAACACUUUUCUUGGCAGAUGCAGUCUCAUCAUUUCAAUUUUGACUUGAGGAUUCUGCAGUUGGGAAGUUUUGAUAUGAUUUUAGGGGUUGAUUGGCUUAAAAGUUUUAAUCCAAUUUUGUUUGAUUUUAAAGCUUCAAGGGUUAUAUUGAGUGGUAAUGGGAAACCAAUUAUUUUACAAGGGUUGAAUGAUUACUCUUCAGGAUCUAUUCUGAAAUCCUGUGAUACUAUUUCUGAAUUACUUCAGAAAGGAGGGGUUGAUUUAGCAACACCUAUUUUCUGUGUUUCAGUUUCAGAAAGUGAGCAAAAUGAUUCUGUUGUUAAUGCAGUAGCAGUGCAUGUGGGUGAGGGUUUAGAGCAACUAUUGCAAAAGUAUCAUAGUAUCUUUGAGGAACCUCAAGGCCUUCCACCAUUUAGAAGCCACAAUCAUGCCAUUCCAUUGAAUUCAACUUCUCAGGCCAUUAAUGUUAGGCCAUACAGGUAUCCCCAUUUUCAGAAAGCUGAAAUUGAAAAGUUAGUUUCUGAUAUGCUGCAAUCUCAAAUCAUUCAGCCUAGUACUAGCCCAUAUUCUUCUCCAGUCCUUUUGGUGAAGAAAAAAGAUGGGACAUGGAGAUUUUGUUUUGAUUAUAAGAAAUUGAAUGAUCAAACAAUCAAGGAUAAGUUCCCUAUUCCUAUUAUUGAUGAUCUACUGGAUGAAUUGCAUGGAGCUUGUGUUUUUUCCAAGAUAGACCUUAGAGCAGGUGAUCAUCAAAUAAGAAUGCAUAUUCUAGACAUACCCAAAACUGCAUUCAG